GAUAAACGCUGGCGGCGCACAUAAGACAUGCAAGUCGAACGAACUUAACCAUUAGUUUACUAUUGGAGCGGUUAGUGGCGGACUGGUGAGUAACACGUAAGCAACCUGCCUAUCAGAGGGGAACAACAGUUAGAAAUGACUGCUAAUACCGCAUAUGCCAUGAGUAUCACAUGAUACAAAUGGGAAAGGAGCAAUCCGCUGAUAGAUGGGCUUGCGUCUGAUUAGAUAGUUGGUGGGGUAAUGGCCUACCAAGUCAACGAUCAGUAGCCGAACUGAGAGGUUGAACGGCCACAUUGGGACUGAGAUACGGCCCAG
rnacentral:rRNA from 1 species